CUAGACUUUUGGUGAGAGGUUGCAAGUCCCGGUAUUGUCACUGCCUUUGGGAUGACAAUGAACGACCCUCCCAACCAACCCGAGGGAGAGCCUCAAGGUUUGACUUGAUCCUUGACUAAGCUUGGCCAUAAAAUGGCGCAGAUAGCGCAGAUAGCCUCAAGGUUCAACAAGCCCAGGAUCACAUCUGAAUCACUGACAUCCCCAUUCUGUAGGAAAGGAGCCUUGGAAAGGAGAACCCAUCAAAGAUCGUCUCGAAAACACAUGCCUUGAUCAGGAUAUGCUGAAAAACCACCGAUGAAGAAAAUCACUUCAUCAUCAUCAUCGUGGAAGUUUUAUAACCCUUUUGGGUCUUCAACUUAUAAGCUACAACUUCAUGUCAGAGAUACAUGGAAUACUGUCAGGAACAAACCUGAUGAAAGAACUCUCAUUGCUUCCACCAAUGUUCGCGUUGAUACAGAGCUGGACGACCCCAUCGAUGCUCUUGUUUCAGGCAAAUGUAAUG